rnacentral:rRNA from 1 species
UAGGGAAUCUUCGGCAAUGGACGAAAGUCUGACCGAGCAACGCCGCGUGAGUGAAGAAGGUUUUCGGAUCGUAAAACUCUGUUGUUAGAGAAGAACAAGGACGUUAGUAACUGAACGUCCCUUGACGGUAUCUAACCAGAAAGCCACGGCUAACUACGUGCCAGCAGCCGCGGUAAUACGUAGGUGGCAAGCGUUGUCCGGAUUUAUUGGGCGUAAAGCGAGCGCAGGCGGUUUCUUAAGUCUGAUGUGAAAGCCCCCGGCUCAACCGGGGAGGGUCAUUGGAAACUGGGAGACUUGAGUGCAGAAGAGGAGAGUGGAAUUCCAUGUGGAGCGGUGAAAUGCGUAGAUAUAUGGAGGAACACCAGUGGCGAAGGCGGCUCUCUGGUCUGUAACUGACGCUGAGGCUCGAAAGCGUGGGGAGCAAACAGG